GACAGUGGUUGCAACCGUUGUUCGGAAUUACUGGGCAUAAAGCGCACGUAGGCGGUCCGUUAAGUCAUGUGUGAAAUCCCCCGGCUCAACCGGGGAAUUGCGCCUGAUACUGGCGGGCUAGAGAUCGAUAGGGGUGAGUGGAACUCCAGGUGGAGCGGUGAAAUGCGUAGAUAUCUGGAGGAACGCCGGUGGCGAAAGCGACUCACUGGAUCGAUACUGACGCUGAGGUGCGAAAGCUAGGGUAGCAAACGGG
rnacentral:rRNA from 1 species